rnacentral:rRNA from 1 species
GACGAACGCUGGCGGCGUGCCUAAUACAUGCAAGUCGAGCGAAGUUUUUCUGGUGCUUGCACUAGAAAAACUUAGCGGCGAACGGGUGAGUAACACGUAAAGAACCUGCCUCAUAGACUGGGACAACUAUUGGAAACGAUAGCUAAUACCGGAUAACAGCAUUAACUGCAUGGUUGAUGUUUGAAAGUUGGUUUUGCUACACUAUGAGAUGGCUUUGCGGUGCAUUAGCUAGUUGGUGGGGUAAAGGCCUACCAAGGCGACGAUGCAUAGCCGACCUGAGAGGGUGAUCGGCCACACUGGGACUGAGACACGGCCCAGACUCCUACGGGAGGCAGCAGUAGGGAAUCUUCCGCAAUGGGCGAAAGCCUGACGGAGCAACGCCGCGUGAGUGAAGAAGGAUUUCGGUUCGUAAAGCUCUGUUGUUAGGGAAGAAUGAUUGUGUAGUA